rnacentral:rRNA from 1 species
UACGUAGGGGGCAAGCGUUGUCCGGAAUUAUUGGGCGUAAAGAGCGCGUAGGCGGUCCGAUAAGUCGGCUGUGAAAGUCCAGGGCUCAACCCUGGAAAGCCGGCCGAUACUGUCGGACUAGAGUCCGGAAGAGGCAAGUGGAAUUCCCGGUGUAGCGGUGAAAUGCGCAGAUAUCGGGAGGAACACCAAUUGCGAAGGCAGCUUGCUGGGACGGUACUGACGCUGAGGCGCGAAAGCGUGGGGAGCAAACAGG